rnacentral:rRNA from 1 species
GACCGGCGCACGGGUGAGUAACACGUAUCCAACCUGCCGUCUACUCUUGGCCAGCCUUCUGAAAGGAAGAUUAAUCCAGGAUGGGAUCAUGAGUUCACAUGUCCGCAUGAUUAAAGGUAUUUUCCGGUAGACGAUGGGGAUGCGUUCCAUUAGAUAGUAGGCGGGGUAACGGCCCACCUAGUCAACGAUGGAUAGGGGUUCCGAGAGGAAGGUCCCCCACAUUGGAACUGAGACACGGUCCAAACUCCUACGGGAGGCAGCAGUGAGGAAUAUUGGUCAAUGGGCGAUGGCCUGAACCAGCCAAGUAGCGUGAAGGAUGACUGCCCUAUGGGUUGUAAACUUCUUUUAUAAAGGAAUAAAGUCGGGUAUGCAUACCCGUUUGCAUGUACUUUAUGAAUAAGGAUCGGCUAACUCCGUGCCAGCAGCCGCGGUAAUACGGAGGAUCCGAGCGUUAUCCGGAUUUAUUGGGUUUAAAGGGAGCGUAGAUGGAUGUUUAAGUCAGUUGUGAAAGUUUGCGGCUCAACCGUAAAAUUGCAGUUGAUACUGGAUGUCUUGAGUGCAGUUGAGGCAGGCGGAAUUCGUGGUGUAGCGGUGAAAUGCUUAGAU